AUGAGCCGCCUCGUUUCCCGGCGGCACCUCGCCGCCGCCGCGGCCCUCCGACGAUCCCCCGCCGCGUUCGCUUCCAGGUGGCUGCACACGCCGGCAUUUGCGACGGUGUCCCCCGAGGAGAUCUCUGGUUCAAGCCCGGCGGAAGUGCAGAAUUUUGUGCAGGGAAAAUGGAUAAAGUCUGCUAACUGGAAUUGGAUAGUUGAUCCUUUAAAUGGCGAAAAAUUUAUCAAAGUUGCUGAGGUUCAGGGAUCUGAAAUAAAGCCAUUUGUGGAGAGUUUAUCUAAAUGCCCAAAGCAUGGACUUCACAACCCACUUAGAGCUCCAGAGAGGUAUCUCAUGUAUGGAGAUAUAUCUACAAAAGCUGCACACAUGCUUGGUCAACCUGAGGUCUUAGAUUUCUUUGCUAAGCUUGUUCAAAGGGUUUCUCCGAAGAGCUAUCAACAAGCACUUUUGGAAGUUCAAGUUUCUCAAAAGUUCUUGGAGAACUUCUGUGGAGAUCAGGUGCGCUUUCUGGCUCGGUCAUUUGCUGUACCUGGAAAUCAUGUUGGACAAAUGAGUAAUGGCUAUCGUUGGCCAUUUGGCCCAGUUGCAAUAAUCACACCGUUCAAUUUCCCAUUGGAGAUUCCCUUGCUGCAACUGAUGGGUGCACUUUAUAUGGGAAAUAAACCAGUCCUCAAAGUUGACAGCAAAGUUAGCAUUGUGAUGGAACAAAUGAUCAGGUUGCUUCACGAGUGUGGGUUACCUGCAGAGGACGUGGACUUCAUAAAUUCUGAUGGUAUCACAAUGAACAAGCUGCUGUUGGAGGCAAAUCCAAAAAUGACCCUCUUUACUGGGAGCUCACGUGUGGCAGAGAAAUUGGCUGCUGAUUUGCAAGGCCGAAUCAAGUUAGAAGAUGCUGGUUUUGAUUGGAAAAUUCUUGGUCCAGAUGUUCAAGAGGUUGAUUAUAUUUCAUGGGUUUGCGACCAGGAUGCUUACGCUUGCAGCGGUCAGAAGUGCUCUGCUCAGUCUAUGCUAUUCAUGCACAAGAACUGGUCAUCUAGUGGGCUACUUGAGAAAAUGAAGAAACUUUCUGAAAGAAGGAAGCUUGAAGAUUUGACGAUUGGCCCAGUCCUUACUGUUACAACAGCAACCAUGAUAGAGCACAUGAACAACCUUCUCAAAAUACCAGGAUCAAAGGUUCUGUUUGGUGGUGAACCUUUGGAGAAUCACUCCAUCCCAGAAAUAUAUGGUGCUUUCAAACCGACUGCUGUAUUUGUCCCACUAGUGGAGAUACUUAAAAAUGGUAACUUCGAGCUUGUGACAAAGGAGAUAUUUGGUCCUUUCCAGGUGGUUACAGAAUACUCUGAGGAACAGCUUGAUUUGGUAUUAGAAGCCUGCGAAAGGAUGAAUGCGCAUCUGACAGCUGCAGUAGUUUCAAACGACAAAUUGUUCCUGCAGGAAGUACUCGGGAGAUCGGUUAACGGGACAACAUAUGCUGGAAUUCGAGCAAGGACCACCGGCGCCCCGCAGAACCACUGGUUUGGUCCUGCGGGUGACCCGAGAGGCGCGGGGAUCGGCACUCCAGAAGCCAUCAAACUCGUCUGGUCUUGCCACAGGGAGAUCAUAUACGACAUUGGUCCCCUGCCUAAGAAGUGGGCACUUCCUGCGGCUACAUGA
rnacentral:rRNA from 1 species